GCAGUGGUGGCUCAGUGGUAGAAUUCUCAUCUUCCAUGCAGGAGACCUGGGUUCGAGUCCCAGCCAAUGCA
rnacentral:tRNA from 1 species